GUUUACGGCCAUACCAGCCUGGGUACGCCCGAUCUCGUCUGAUCUCGGAAGCUAAGCAGGGUCGGGUCUGGUUAGUACUUGGAUGGGAGACCGCCUGGGAAUACCAGGUGCUGUAAGCU
ensembl:rRNA 5S_rRNA 5S ribosomal RNA